AGCAGCCGCGGUAAUUCCAGCUCCAAUAGCGUAUAUUAAAGUUGUUGCAGUUAAAAAGCUCGUAGUUGAAUUUCGGGAUCAAUACGUUGGUCGUGCUUUCGGGUACGUACUGGCGUCAUUGGUUUCUCUCUUCUGACGAACCAUGAUGUCAUUAAUUUGGUGUUAUGGGGAGUUAGGACUGUUACUUUGAAAAAAUUAGAGUGUUUAAAGCAGGCAUUAGCUUGAAUACAUUAGCAUGGAAUAAUGAAAUAGGACGUUUGAUCCUAUUUUGUUGGUUUCUAGGAUCGACGUAAUGAUUAAUAGGGAUAGUUGGGGGCAUUAGUAUUCAAUUGUCAGAGGUGAAAUUCUUGGAUUUAUUGAAGACUAACUACUGCGAAAGCAUUUGCCAAGGAUGUUUUCAUUAAUCAAGAACGAAAGUUAGGGGAUCGAAGACGAUCAGAUACCGUCGUAGUCUUAACCAUAAACUAUGCCGACUAGGGAUCGGAUGAUGUUAAUUUUUUAAUGACUCAUUCGGCGCCUU
rnacentral:sRNA from 1 species